UAGGUUAACGAGGCGAACCGGGGGAACUGAAACAUCUAAGUACCCCGAGGAAAAGAAAUCAACCGAGAUUCCCCCAGUAGCGGCGAGCGAACGGGGAGCAGCCCAGAGUCUGAAUCAGCUUGUGUGUUAGUGGAACGGUCUGGAAAGUCCGACGGUACAGGGUGAUAGUCCCGUACACCAAAAUGCACAGGUUGUGAACUCGAAGAGUAGGGCGGGACACGUGGUAUCCUGUCUGAAUAUGGGGGGACCAUCCUCCAAGGCUAAAUACUCCUGACUGACCGAUAGUGAACCAGUACCGUGAGGGAAAGGCGAAAAGAACCCCGGCGAGGGGAGUGAAAAAGAACCUGAAACCGUGUACGUACAAGCAGUGGGAGCACCUUCGGGUGUGACUGCGUACCUUUUGUAUAAUGGGUCAGCGACUUAUAUUCUGUAGCAAGGUUAACCGUAUAGGGGAGCCGCAGGGAAACCGAGUCUUAACUGGGCGUUAAGUUGCAGGGUAUAGACCCGAAACCCGGUGAUCUAGCCAUGGGCAGGUUGAAGGUUGGGUAACACUAACUGGAGGACCGAACCGACUAAUGUUGAAAAAUUAGCGGAUGACUUGUGGCUGGGGGUGAAAGGCCAAUCAAACCGGGAGAUAGCUGGUUCUCCCCGAAAGCUAUUUAGGUAGCGCCUCGUGAACUCAUCUUCGGGGGUAGAGCACUGUUUCGGCUAGGGGGUCAUCCCGACUUACCAACCCGAUGCAAACUACGAAUACCGAAGAAUGUUAUCACGGGAGACACACGGCGGGUGCUAACGUCCGUCGUGAAGAGGGAAACAACCCAGACCGCCAGCUAAGGUCCCAAAGUCAUGGUUAAGUGGGAAACGAUGUGGGAAGGCACAGACAGCCAGGAUGUUGGCUUAGAAGCAGCCAUCAUUUAAAGAAAGCGUAAUAGCUCACUGGUCGAGUCGGCCUGCGCGGAAGAUGUAACGGGGCUAAACCAUGCACCGAAGCUGCGGCAGCGACACUAUGUGUUGUUGGGUAGGGGAGCGUUCUGUAAGCCUGCGAAGGUGGCCUGUGAGGG
rnacentral:rRNA from 1 species